rnacentral:sRNA from 1 species
GAGCGAAGCGAGAGAACGUUGCGCCAGCAACGGCCCGCAGGGCGAGCCACGAAGUGGCGAGUAAUCCUCUAUCACCGACCA